rnacentral:lncRNA from 1 species
AAUGCCUCUUGAGAUCCGAUCAGAGCGUAGAUAUAUUUGACUUACGCGCCUCCAGAAUCCAUAAAUCAUCCCCUCGGUCGUCGCAACUCUGAUCGACUGCUCUGUGCCCCUCCAGUUACGGUUUUGUCCUUUGUCUUCCUUCCUUUCCUGCUCCUUCACAGCUGUGUUUCAUUUCAACCUUCUCCGUGACACAUUUCUGAAGUGGCUCCUGGGGAGAUCUGCUUUGCUCCGUCGCCAGUGAACCCACAACCUGUUACCACACAAAACCCAGCCGCCCCGGGAGGAUUCUGAUUCUGAGGUGUCCACCUCGCCCCGCAUUAAGAUCACCGAAAGGAAAUCGCCUGAAGCAACAAGGCUUAAAAUAGACAAGAAGAGCCCUGGUUUUCGUGUCAGAAAGUCUCCAGUUGGACCAACGCCAGUGUGGACAGCUUGGAGCCCCCGAAUAAGACAUUUGGUCUCAUGUCUCACGGCUUUCUUGUGGGUAAAUUUUCGAAAACACCCUUGCACUUAUUCUAACUCCCAACGG